AGGAUGAACGCUGGCGGCGUGCCUAAUACAUGCAAGUCGAGCGGCAGCGCAGGGUGCUUGCACCCUGGCGGCGAGCGGCGGACGGCUGAGUAACGCGUAGGAACGUACCCUAAAGUGAGGAAUAACUGCCCGAAAGGGUGGCUAAUGCCGCAUGUGCUCUUCGGAGUAAAGCUUCGGCGCUUUGGGAACGGCCUGCGUCCGAUUAGCUAGUUGGUAAGGUAAUGGCUUACCAAGGCUACGAUCGGUAGCUGGUCUGAGAGGAUGACCAGCCAGACUGGGACUGAGAACGGCCCAGACUCCUACGGGAGGCAGCAGUGAGGAAUUUUCCGCAAUGGGCGAAAGCCUGACGGAGCGACGCCGCGUGUGGGAAGAAGGCCUUCGGGUCGUAACCACUGUCGAAGGGGACGAUAAUGACGGUACCCUUGGAGGAAGCCCCGGCUAACUACGUGCCAGCAGCCGC
rnacentral:rRNA from 1 species